rnacentral:rRNA from 1 species
CGGGACGGGUGAGUAACGCGUGGGCAACCUGCCCUGCACUGGGGGACAACAGCCGGAAACGGCUGCUAAUACCGCAUAUGCCCGCAGCCCCGCAUGGGGCGGCGGGGGAAGCUCCGGCGGUGCAGGAUGGGCCCGCGUCUGAUUAGCUUGUUGGCGGGGCAACGGCCCACCAAGGCGACGAUCAGUAGCCGGCCUGAGAGGGUGGGCGGCCACAUUGGGACUGAGACACGGCCCAGACUCCUACGGGAGGCAGCAG